UAACACUGGUCAAUUUGAUUAGUAGGA
rnacentral:piRNA from 1 species